AGUCCAUGAUGUGGAUACCUCUAAAACAACUUUCUAAACCAUUCCCAAGAUUCACACAACGAUUCACUAUCAAAUUGACUAAAACUAGUGAUAUCUAUUCUAAGCUU